rnacentral:rRNA from 1 species
GGAUACGGCCAUACUGCGCAGAAAGCAUCGCUUCCCAUCCGAACAGCGAAGUUAAGCUGCGCCAGGCGGCGUUAGUACUGGGGUGGGCGACCACCCGGGAAUCCGCCGUGCUGUAUCCUAUU